UAGGGAAUAUUGCGCAAUGGACGAAAGUCUGACGCAGCCACGCCGCGUGAGUGAGGAAGGCCUUCGGGUUGUAAAGCUCUGUCGCCUGGGAAAAACGGCUAUUGGGGGAAAGUUCCAGUAGCGUGAUGGUACCAGGAAAGGAAGCACCGGCAAACUCUGUGCCAGCAGCCGCGGUAAUACAGAGGGUGCAAGCGUUGUUCGGAAUUACUGGGCGUAAAGCGUGCGUAGUCGGUAUUGAGAGUCGCGGGUGAAAUCCCAGGGCUUAACCCUGGAACUGCCUGCGAGACCUCAGUACUAGAGUGUGAGAGGGGAUAGUGGAAUACCCAGUGUAGCGGUGAAAUGCGUAGAGAUUGGGUGGAACACCGGUGGCGAAGGCGGCUAUCUGGCUCACAACUGACGAUCAGGCACGAAAGCGUGGGGAGCAAACAGG
rnacentral:rRNA from 1 species